rnacentral:rRNA from 1 species
GAUGAACGCUAGCGGCAGGCUUAAUACAUGCAAGUCGAGGGGUAGCAAGAUUGUAGCAAUACAAUUGUUGGCGACCGGCAAACGGGUGCGGAACACGUACACAACCUUCCUACAAGUGGGGAAUAGCCCAGAGAAAUUUGGAUUAAUACCCCGUAACAUAGCGAUGUGGCAUCACAUUGCUAUUAUAGCUUCGGCGCUUGUUGAUGGGUGUGCGGCUGAUUAGAUAGUUGGCGGGGUAACGGCCCACCAAGCCUACGAUCAGUAGCUGAUGUGAGAGCAUGAUCAGCCACACGGUCACUGAGACACGGGCCCGACUCCUACGGGAGGCAGCAGUAAGGAAUAUUGGACAAUGGACGCUAGUCUGAUCCAGCCAUGCCGCGUGAAGGAUUAAGGUCCUCUGGAUUGUAAACUUCUUUUAUAAGGGACGAAAAAAGGUCUUUCUAGAUCGUCCGACGGUACCUUAUGAAUAAGCACCGGCUAACUCCGUGCCAGCCGCCGCGGUAAUAC